rnacentral:lncRNA from 10 species
GUGACUGUGUCACUGAGCACUCUUUGUCUUUUGGGAGCGAGGCAGGGUCAGCUGGCUGUCAGGGGCUGAAAGAGGCUUGGCCACUGGCAUCCAGCUGCCAUCCCAGCUCCCAAAGGUCUGAUUACUGACUGGCUCAUCCACUGUCCCCAUUUUGAGGUCCCUGCUGGAACUGGCCCUAGGGAGAGAGGCACGAGCAAACACAUCACUCAGUCCCCUCCUUCACUUAGUGACAGAGCAAGUUCUGGAUUUUUCACAACAGUCCUUUUUUCAGGUGAAUGUAACAUCUCUGCAAUGAAUGGUGAUCUGUGUUGCGGUUAGAAACGCAGGAUCAGAGAUCCUGCUGCCCGGGUUCAAUUCUUGGUUUAAUCCUGUAUUGCUGUAAGACUUUAAGAGACUUAUCUUCAGCUGGGCAUGGUGGCUCACACUGGUGAUCCCAGCACAUUGGAGGCCAAGGUGGGUGGCUCACUGGAGAUCAGGAGUUCAAGACCAGCCUGGCCAACAUGGAGAAACCCCGUCUCCGCUAAAAAUAUGAAAAUUAGCCAGGCAUGGUGGUGCCCGCCUCUAGUCUCAGCUACUUGAGAGGCUGAGGCAGGAGAAUCGCUUGAACCUGGGAGGCGGAGGAAGCAGUGAGCUGAGAUGCUGAGAUCGUGCCACUGCACUCCAGCCUGGGCAACAGAGUGAGAAUCUAUCUAACAUGGUGAAACCCCGUCUCUACUAAAAAUACAAAAAAUUAGCCGGGCAUGGUGGCGGGCUCCUGUAGUCCCAGCUAUUCGGGAGGCUGAAGCAG